UCAUCGGCGUCAACUGCCUCAGCACAGACUUCUCCUCGCAGAAAGGGGUGAAGGGUGUCCCCCUGAACCUGCAGAUCGAUACCUACGACUGUGGCUCGGGCGCUGAGCGCCUGGUGCAUCGCGCUGUCUGUCAGAUCAAGAUCUUCUGUGACAAGGGAGCAGAAAGGAAAAUGCGGGAUGAUGAGCGGAAGCAGUUCCGGAGGAAGGUCAAGUGCCCCGACUCCAGCAACAGUGGAGUCAAGGGAUGCCUGCUGUCUGGCUUCCGGGGCAAUGAGACCACCUACUUGCGGCCUGAGGCUGACCUGGAGACCCCGCCUGUGCUCUUCAUCCCCAACGUGCACUUCUCCAGCCUGCAGCGUCC